GGAAUUUUCCGGAGACUCAGUAGGCGCAGCUUCCGGGUCCCUCCGGGCGAAUUGGGAUCCGAGUCCGUGGCGCGGCGCAGGGUGGACUUCACCCUGCGCAGGUGAAAUGUCCCCUUUGGGAGCCUGGACGAUCCAGUUCCAUGAACUCUGUGGACAAGCCACUGGUCUGCCCCAGCCACCCAGUUCGCAAGACGAGAUUUUUGUUGAAGCUGGAAUGGGAUUCCUCCAUCAUUCCCGUGAAUCGCCGGAGGGGGCGGGGUUAAAAGGAGUGUAAAUUGGGGCGAUCCUGUCAUCUCAACCAGUCAAUCCCCAGUCUUGUCACUCUGCUUUCUUGAGUCCCACAUCCACUACCCUAAUCCAAACCGCCAGGGACUUUAACCUGCCCCUGGAAGGCCUUGGUAAACACGAUAUCGAUGACUUGAAUCUUGAGUUUAACAGUGUCCCAGGCCAUCGGCUCACUUUGGUGCCCAUUUCUCAGAAUGGGACCUCUGUUGGUGAUAGUUGUCUCAAACAGUGAAGUUCAUAACAAAUGCUUCCGGAUCCCUUUGUGGGACUCCCAACUGGGCUGAUGAGCCCCUAUGUCAGGCACUCAUGGGUCUGAAAACGAGAUCCAACCAAGAGUUGCCAAAAUUGCCAAAUUUCACUGCAAUAGUAAUGUAGUGGUUGGGUGCUUUGGCUAUAGAUUCAAACAAAUGGAGCACCAAUGCCAGCCCCUUCUCAAUUAUUCUGCCAAGUUAUUGAACCUGAGAUGAAUGUGGAUAAUAGCAGUGCUUACCUUAUAGGGUGUUGUGAGACCUUCAAAUGAUAACUUAUAGCAAUAUAUUUAGUUCUGUUUGCCAA